GAUGAACGCUGGCGGCGUGCCUAAUACAUGCAAGUCGAGCGAACAGAUGAGGAGCUUGCUCCUCUGACGUUAGCGGCGGACGGGUGAGUAACACGUGGAUAACCUACCUAUAAGACUGGGAUAACUUCGGGAAACCGGAGCUAAUACCGGAUAAUAUAUUGAACCGCAUGGUUCAAUAGUGAAAGACGGUUUUGCUGUCACUUAUAGAUGGAUCCGCGCCGCAUUAGCUAGUUGGUAAGGUAACGCCUUACCAAGGCUACGAUGCGUAGCCGACCUGAGAGGGUGUUCGGCCCACCGGGACCUGGGACCGGGUCAAGAUCCGUCCGGGAGGAGGCAGUGGGGAUUUUGCAGCAAUGGCCGAAGGCUUGUCGGGGCAUCGCGGCGGGGGUGAUAAAGGUCUCCGGUUCUUAAACCCUUGUUUUGGGAAAAAAAAAAAUCUGUAUAUAACUAUGCUGUUCUGGCCGUACCCUAAGAAGAAGGCCCCGGCAACUUCGUG
rnacentral:rRNA from 1 species